CCUACGGGAGGCAGCAGUGGGGAAUAUUGCACAAUGGGGGAAACCCUGAUGCAGCGACGCCGCGUGAGUGAAGAAGUAUCUCGGUACGUAAAGCUCUAUCAGCAGGGAAGAAAAUGACGGUACCUGACUAAGAAGCCCCGGCUAACUACGUGCCAGCAGCCGCCGUAAUACGUAGGGGGCAAGCGUUAUCCGGAUUUACUGGGGGUAAAGGGUGCGUAGACGGCAGCGCAAGUCUGAGGUGAAAUCCCGGGGCUUAACCCCGGAACUGCUUUGGAAACUGUGCAGCUGGAGUGCAGGAGAGGUAAGCGGAAUUCCUAGUGUAGCGGUGAAAUGCGUAGAUAUUAGGAGGAACACCAGUGGCGAAGGCGGCUUACUGGACUGUAACUGACGUUGAGGCUCGAAAGCGUGGGGAGCAAACAGGAUUAGAUACCCGAGUAGUC
rnacentral:rRNA from 1 species